AUAAAAAAAAACUACCAACAGCAGCGCUGAUCAUGAAACUAUGGGAUUCUUGUCAAAUCAAGGUUUGCAGAGUCAAGAGAGACAGGAAUCCAACAAUUCAUAAUGGCUCCUGGGAUGCAGAAAGAUAUAACUGCUGUUUGUGUCUGAGUCUCCUGUACCUCCAACCACCCCAAUCUCCGAUCACUUGGCCUAAUAUACCAUCAUCACCAUCACAUCUUAGCCUUUCAAGUGUGCUUGCUGUUUCCCA